AGAGGCCCUUCUUCAAUACGGCGAAAGUUGUCGGAAAGUCCGAACAUCGUUUUAAACAUACGUAAUAUGAGUACACCACAGCUCAAUUAUUUUUAAAAACAAUAAAAAAACAAACAAAUAAUAAUAACAAUUACAUUUUCGUUAUAAAAAUACCGAAAACCCUGCGUCGGCCAGCCUUUGGGGACUGAUUUUCGAGACCAAAAGCAGACAGCUUACUCUUGUUUUGAAUGUUGAGUAUGCUGCAAUGUUUCAUCAACGUGGGAAUUGCAAUCCUACGAUUGAUUGCGGGUAUUUAGAAAUUCAGAUUAAAAAUUGUCCUUCAGCGCGUGAUUUAUGCGACUAAAUAUUGUUGAUAAAUAAUUGAUGAGUGUAAUUACAACCACCUAAUUAGGCGUAACGUCCUAAUCCACUCAACCUGAUAGUUGAAUAAUGCGCUUAAAAUAACAAAUGUAGAACUUAUUGUACACUAUGUCUAGGUAGAUAUUUGAUUGGUAUUAUUCGUUUUUUACACGAAAUAUUAUGUUAAAAUGACAAACGCCGCAUAAUAAUGUGAGAUUUGUCAUACUGCCGCUAUAUUACGUAUAUUAUUCGCAAAAUAUCGCGCUUGAAUACAAUAAAUAUUUAUAUACACUAUCAUACCGUUAAUGACCUUGGAUUUACACUAACCGUCAGUCUUUGUCCAAUGUCGUACACCAGGCCUGCGAAUCCCUCGAGUUGUACUCGUUUCUAAUUGCAUCUCUCAAGAAUUCCGUCUCUCAAAUCUCUCUAACGUGUUAUUAUUCGUGCUACCUUGAAGUACGGUUCAAUCCUUUAGCACCCUGACACGCUUACUCGCCGGUAACGUAACAUGAUCGAGUGUAUCCAAAGGAAAUUCCUCGGCGCGGUCGCUUUCAGCCACUAUAUUAUUAUAUAGCUGCGGAUAAUACACAUAUAUUUUUCGGACCAUGUAAAGGUACUCGAACUGGAUAAUUGAGGAAAAUCCACAAUCGCGAACUCCGCGGGAGCUUUUUAAACGACCCAGCAUCACAAAAGAAAUUUCAGUGAGAAUGGUGAAAUGGACAGGACGUGCAGGGGAUCAAUACUAUGAGGACUGUAAUCGAAAACAAUCCAACAGCAAACCGACCACCGGGAAUAUGGGUGGAUUGUGUGUUGCUAGGGAUUUAGGAGCGCUGGAACCUGGGAUACAAUGACGAGACACAACGGUGGACAGAAGUAGAUGGAUGGUAUUUGCUUGGGGAGUUGGUCUUAAAGGCCGUCGUCACCCCUUAAAAAGAAGAAGAUAUUAUUUUGGCGAGGGACAAAAACGGUAUUUUGUGCAAAUAAGUCGGAUUUUACCUCGGUAUAUAUUAUAAUACUGCGAUGACGUAUCCGUCACGCGUAAUCGGACAUAUUAUUAUUUUUAUUUUAUACAAGAGACGGUCAGAGAGACUCAGUACUAGAGGGCUGAAAACGACUGUCAUCCUUUCGGAUCGAUAAAACCCUUUUUAUAUAAAUAUAUAUAUUUACACGCGAAGCUUAUGAAACCCUCGGUUGCGUGUAACACAAUAUACGAGUUGGCGGGCGUUGCAGAAACAAAUAUACUCGACCCGGGCCCUACUCCCUGCUGACAGUGGCGAUAUGGAAUGACUGCUGUCUGUGCAACGGUUCUCGCAGCAGUGGUGUGGCGGUAUAGAUAAAGUUCGGUUAAAGUUUUAUAUAUUUUCUGCCGCGUUGCUUUUAAGUCUUUUUGGCAACACCAACAACAAUAAUGAUAAUAAUAAUAAUAUCAGCUAUACACCGACUACCUAUCCGCGGUAAAGUUAUCGGUACACGCUGCUUUA